GAUGAACGCUGACAGAAUGCUUAACACAUGCAAGUCAUUGGCGAAGCUGCGCUUGCGCAGUCUAGCCAAGGCGGACGGGUGAGUAACGCGUAAGGAACUUGCCCUGCAGACAGGGAUAACAGACGGAAACGACUGAUAACACCUGGUAUUGUCAGGCUGGCGCAUGCCGGCCUGAUGAAAGGAGACACUGCAGGAGAGCCUUGCGUCCUAUUAGCUAGUUGGUGGGGUAACGGCCCACCAAGGCGAUGAUAGGUAGCCGGCCUGAGAGGGUGAACGGCCACAAGGGGACUGAGAUACGGCACUUACUCCUACGGGAGGCAGCAGUGGGGAAUAUUGGACAAUGGGGGCAACCCUGAUCCAGCAAUUCUGUGUGCACGAAGAAGGUUUUCGGAUUGUAAAGUGCUUUCAGCAGGGAAGAAGAAAGUGACGGUACCUGCAGAAGAAGCGACGGCUAAAUACGUG
rnacentral:rRNA from 1 species